GGGGCUGAUUCUGGAUUCGACGGGAUUUGCGAAACCCAAGGUGCAUGCCGAGGGGCGGUUGGCCUCGUAAAAAGCCGUAAAAAAUAGUCGCAAACGACGAAAACUACGCUUUAGCAGCUUAAUAACCUGCUUAGAGCCCUCUCUCCCUAGCCUCCGCUCUUAGGACGGGGAUCAAGAGAGGUCAAACCCAAAAGAGAUCGCGUGGAAGCCCUGCCUGGGGUUGAAGCGUUAAAACUUAAUCAGGCUAGUUUGUUAGUGGCGUGUCCGUCCGCAGCUGGCAAGCGAAUGUAAAGACUGACUAAGCAUGUAGUACCGAGGAUGUAGGAAUUUCGGACGCGGGUUCAACUCCCGCCAGCUCCACCA
rnacentral:tmRNA from 1 species